rnacentral:rRNA from 1 species
CUGGAACAACUUACCGAAAGGUGAGCUAAUGCCGGAUGAGUUAUAUAAGUGCAUGUUUAUAUAGGAAAAGUUGGGGAGACCUGACGCUGAAAGAUGGACUCGCGUCCCAUUAGCUAGUUGGUAGGGUAAUGGCCUACCAAGGCGACGAUGGGUAGCCGGCCUGAGAGGGUGGCCGGCCACACUGGGACUGAGACACGGCCCAGACUCCUACGGGAGGCAGCAGUGGGGAAUUUUGCGCAAUGCUCGUAAGAGUGACGCAGCGACGCCGCGUGAAUGGCGAAGGCCUUCGGGUCGUAAAGUUCUUUCGACAGGGAAGAAAAUGCCUAUAAGUAACUGUGUAUGUAUUGACGGUACCUGUAUAAGCAGCCCCGGCUAACUCCGUGCCAGCAGCCGCGGUAAUACGGAGGGGGCGAGCGUUGUUCGGAGUGACUGGGCGUAAAGAGCACGUAGGCGGUGUUGUAAGUCAUUAGUCAAAGACUAGAGCUCAACUUUAGUAAGGCUAGUGAUACUAUAAUACUAGAGUAUCAGAGAGGAUUGCAGAAUUCCUGGUGUAGCGGUGAAAUGCGUAGAUAUCAGGAGGAAUACCGUUAGCGAAGGCGGCAAUCUGGCUGGAAACUGACGCUGAGGUGCGAAAGCGUGGGUAGCAAACAGGAUUAGAUACCCUGGUAGUCCACGCUGUAAACGAUGGAUACUAGGUGU